rnacentral:rRNA from 1 species
AUUGAACGCUGGCGGCGUGCUUAACACAUGCAAGUUGAACGAACCUUCGGGUUAGUGGCGGACGGGUGAGUAACGCGUGAGAAUCUGCCCUCAGGAGGGGGAUAACGGCUGGAAACGGCCGCUAAUACCCCAUAUGCCGAGAGGUGAAAUGAAUUUCGCCUGAGGAUGAGCUCGCGUCUGAUUAGCUAGUUGGUGGGGUAAUAGCCCACCAAGGCUUCGAUCAGUAGCUGGUCUGAGAGGAUGAUCAGCCACACUGGGACUGAGACACGGCCCAGACUCCUACGGGAGGCAGCAGUGGGGAAUAUUGGACAAUGGGCGAAAGCCUGAUCCAGCAAUGCCGCGUGAGUGAUGAAGGCCUUAGGGUUGUAAAGGCUCUUUUACCUACGACGAUGAUGACGGUAGUAGGAGAAUAAGCCCCGGCUAACUCCGUGCCAGCAGCCGCGGUAAU